UGUCCAGAAAGAAGCUUUUCUUUCAAAAAUGACUUUCUACUUUAAAUGGGCGUACCUGUCGACCACCGAUCAAAAGUAUUUGUCCCUUCAAAGUAAAACUUCAAAAAAUCAUCAGCUGGUUGCAACGAAUACACAGGAUCCUACACCCCCAGUCAAGGUGUAUCAUAUCAAGCAUGAAGUAGGCGAAUGCCUGGCUUUUGGCUUCGAGGUGAAAAGAAAGCAAGUUUUCCCUGUUGUUACUCCCGAUGAAGAAGUCACUUUCAAGGUUUUAGAACAAGGCGAGCCGAUCACGAAAGGAACCUUUGAUGAAACGUUCUUAUUUAAGCAGGGUGAGAAAAAGAUUUUUGGAGAUUACCUGAGUCUGGAAUCAGUGGCUAUACCCAAAAGGUACCUGUGUGUUAAAAAAAGAGAGUUCAACAUGAUCAUCACAGAAGAACAGACACCGGAAUUUAAAAUCUGUUACUCAGAUGAGAAAAAAGCAGUUGAAGAGGGGCAGUUUCUCUGUGGACCAGCCAAAAUCCAAGAGAAUGAGACAAUUCCCUUCAGAAAGAUCUCCUCGCGAAGACGCAAAUUAAAACGAAGAUGUUCAUGCUACGAGGGAUUGGUGGCACUCCGUAAACCACUGCGCUAUUACAACAGGAAAACCCAGCGGAUGAAGAUGUGAAGAGCAGAAGUUUUCACUAACGAAAGGGUCAUUCUGAGAAAGCUGGAGAACAAGUGGAGCGAUUCCUCCGUGGGUCUUUGACGCGUGGCAUUUUCUCCAUUUAUUUGCAUGUGCUUCACUUUAAUUUGUAUGUCUUUCACUUUUCAGUUAUGUGAGUUAUUGUGUAAGGCUGAAAGCAGGUUCAGAUUCAGGUUUGGAUGCAUGGGAUUGAACCAGAAACUGGAUCAGGAAUCAGUGAUGUAGGGAAUAUCUCCAUUUCUAAUGUUUGUGAAAGAAGUCUCUUCUGCUCACCAGGACUGCAUUGAUUUGUGGAAACACUACCAUUUAAAGGCUUGGGCUGAGUAAGGGGAAAAAAAUGACGUUAUACUGUAAUAUCACAAUUUUUCCUGCAUUUUUUAUUAAACAAAUGCCGCCCUGGUGAGCAUACAAGACUUCUUAAAAAAAUAAAGAAAAAGAAAAAUACAAUUGACCAGUAAUAUAUGCACUUUUCUAUGUCAGUAUCAGUAGUGAGAGUACUUUGCUCACAGUGUGAAAUUUUCUACAAGCAGAAGUGCACGUGACUGGAUCUUAUCUGACCGAAAAAACAAAAUGUGUGAAUGUUGGACACUUGAUGCACUCGACAGCUGAAGCUUUUAGUGAACAGACAGAGGUCAGACUCUCAUGCUGCUGCAUGACUAAAUAACCUCUCUCACACUGGUCUGGAAUGUAGGCAGCACAAAGUAAAAGGGCAUUUUUUCAAUGGUAUGUCAUGUGGGACACAGAGAAGAGUCAGUAAAGUUGAGACAAGCGUGCCCUCUGCUGCUGAAGCUCAUCUGAACUCAGAUCAGUCUGAAGUGAGCAAGACUUUAUCAGCACAGUUUGAAGAGCGUAUGCUGAAUCCAAUAUGUAUUGCAUUUCUUCAAAUAUAUGAAUGUAUUUGUUAACCAUAUUAUAUAAAAGCUGUGAAGAUUAAAUAAUCAAAGCAUCUUGCUUUAUGUAUUUUUAUAUAUGCAUGAACUUUUUAUUAUUAAUAUAUUGUAUCUUCUUUCUGACAAAAUCUAAGCACGACUAAUUUCUGUAUUAUUCAUUGAUUUAAUAAUAUAUGCAAAAAUCUAAAAUGUAAAAAUGUUCUGGAUAGAAUGCGAUUUAUAUGUAGUUGAUAUUUCACUCCAUUAAUGACUACCAAAUAAACAUGUAUUUUAUAGUGUUUGGGCUUGUUGUGAAUCAAUGUGAAAAACUAAUCAGCCGACUUAAUCCUAAAAAUAAAUAAAAAGUCCACAAUAAAAGAGCACAGAAGCAGUCAUGAGUAGCACAGCAGCAAUAGAGAACAAUACAUUGUAUGGGUCACAACUAUACAUUUUUAUUUUAUACCAAAAAUCGUGAAGUUAUUUUGUAAAUUGUGGAAACAUAUCAAAACAUAAUGUUUGAUUAGUAAUAUGCAUUGCUAAGAACUUCAUUUGAACAACUUUAAAUAUGAUUUUCUCAAUAUUUUGAUUAGCUCCCAGCACAAUCUGAAUGAAGCAGUGUCUCUGACAUCUGUUUGCAGCUUAUCUUCUUCUUCAUCAUCAGCAUCAGCAUGACGGCAUGUGAAAUAAUCUCCUGAAUCAGCCGUGCCAUUGCAUCUACCCUUGAACUGUCAUCAUCAGUGAAGCUUAGCAUGUGUGUGUGUGUGUGUGUGAAUCACAUCAGAUGAGGGUCACAGGGUUUAACUUUGUGCAAUAGGACUUUACACAAGACAUGAAGAUGAGGAGGGACAGUUGUUCAUCAUUACUGUAAAAGACGUGACGUGUAAAAAAGCCUGUUUGCAAGAACUUUACCAUAAAAAAUUAUAGUAGCAACAAUUAAAGUUUUAUAAUUUGGACUUAAAAUUACAGUAACACUUUAUUUAAGGUGUCCUUGUUAUUUACUAUUAUAAUAACAAUAAAUUAUGCAUAAAAGUAACCCUAAGCCAAACUUAAAUCCUAUCCACUCAGUAAUGUAUAAUUACACUGCAACAAGGACACCUUAAAAUAAAGUAUAAUCCACUUUAAAAAAAAGUUAACUGAUAUAAUAUUCCAACUUAAUAUUCCAAGUCCAAAAAUUGGAUUUAUAACUCUAUAAUUUAACAACCACCUUUCCCCGAUACUUUUCUAAAAGUGUUAAAUAUAUACAGUAGAAGGCACCUGAUGUUACACACAAAUGUAGAUGAGUUUGUUCUUUAUCAGAACAGAUUUUAGCAAAAAAUGUAGCAUCACUCGCUCACUAUUGGAGUUGAAUGGGUGCCGUCAGAAUGAGAGCUGAUAAACACGUCACAACAAUGCACAGCACUCUAGAUCUUCAGUUAAAAGCUGGGUGUUUGUAAGAAAUACACCUUCAUUCUGACGGCACCCAUUCACUUCAGAGGAUCCGUCGAUAAGCAAAGGAUGCGAUGUUACAUUUCUCCAAAUCCAAAGCGGUGUUUAAACAGAACUGUUCUCAUUAUUAGAUACAGACUCGGAUGUUAAAAAUGUUCUUAUUUCCUGAUUACUUUUGUAAAGCAGUGUAGGAGAUUCUUAAUAAUUUAUGUUUAUAAUGGUGCAAUUCUGAUGGUGGAUCUGUGAAGUGAGCAGUCUGUGAAGGAGCAGUGCCCUUAGUAUGCAUCAAUUCAGAUGCUUUUUAUUUGGACUUUCUAGGGCACCUCCUCAAUGCAUUUAUCACUAGAGAUUAGAAUGAUAUCUGUGUCCCUGCAGCACAGAAGAAGUCAUCAGUAGGAGAAGAAUCACUUUCUUGUUAACAAACGCUGAGCGGUCAGGAAAGAGUAAAACAAACGCAGGUCCUCAGCAAAGAAAAUCUCUUUAUUAAAGGAAGUGUGUGGAGGAUAGAGCAGUGCACACUGCCUUUAUCACAUCACACAGAACAGACACCAACCAGAAACAGUCAGGAUUUAUUUAUAAUUUAUAACUGAUUCUGAAUAUAAAUAUAUUUCUAUGUUUAUAUUUCUGUAUUUUGAUUUUAAUUAAUCUAUUUAAACCGAGCUGGGUGUUGUUUCCAGUCACAUCCCCAAAGCUCUUAAUCUACUAAUUCCCAAUUCAGUUCAUACAAUCAGGAUAAUCUGCUCGAUCCUGACUUUAUAGCACCAUGUUAACAUGUUGCUUGAACUGUAUUGUGCUGUGUGUCCAAAACCUGUUUGAUCUGAGCUCUAUAUACAUGUUCACACACACGCACACACACACACAGCUCAGAUGAUGCUGGUUUGCUCUCACAACAGCUCAAAACACCUAAAGUAGAGACAAUCCUCAGUUCUUCUCGACACACUAACAUUGUAACAUCCCUCAGACUCUGUGUGAAAGAAGGGUAUUUGUUUUCUUUCUUUAUAAAGGAGCAAACUUUCAAAACGACGAGACCUACAGAGAGCAUCCAGCGGGAGAAUCCGUGUAUCUAUCAAACAUCGUCUCUACUGCUUUACACAGGAUCUGCUUACAGUGUUUCUCGGUCGAACAUCUUCUUGUUCCACGCGUCCGUCUCCAGAGCGCGGCUCUCCCCAGCGACGAGACUCUUCCGGCGGUCAGUCGUUGUCCAGAUCGUCGCUCUCAGACUCUUCUCCGGUUCUCCGCUCGAGCGCGUUCUCUCUGUGCCGCUCCCGGAUCUCCUUCAUCUCCUCGGUGUAGUGACAG
rnacentral:lncRNA from 1 species